AGUGAAAAACUAAUUAGAUUCCGUUCCAAAAAAUAAUCAGGAAAAAUUGCAAAUUGGAAAUUCGGGAAUUGGAAUCGAUGGAAUUCGGAAGAUUUCAUCUUUUUUUAGUCACGUAAAAUACAAAAUGCACGAUAAUAUGGAUAUUAUAAGUGUAAUCUUUUGAGAUGCAUGCGUAUUUUAACAUUUAUUUCGGAAUAAAUGCUUUGAAUUCAGAAGUCAAGAAGACUCCGAGUUGCUUGCCGAGAGGAGUUGGUUUAUUUAAGGAUACAAGUUUGGUGGCCGAUGGACGAAACCUAAGUAAUUACGUAUCUCACUAUCCGUAGUUUGUUUAUCUAUAAUCACAUCCAUCUUAUGAUAUAUAUAUAGAUACAAGUUAUUUUGCUACAUUUGCAUCUCUGUUCCGGAAAUAAAUGAUUCUGCUUGUAUGUUUGAUUGUCGAUAAUGCUUCCUAAUUAGCCUUUCUAUUUCCAUUUAUGACAUGUUCGGAAUCAUGGUUCAAAAUGCACGAAGAAGCUUUCUGUAUUAAUUAGAACGCUGUCUUACUUUUGGUAAUUAAAGAUUUUAUUACUUACGCUUUACGUGAAAAUAGCAAACUCUGUCGUCUCAUAUUCGAAGGUGCUUUAUAUGCAGGUUCUAUACCGGCACCGUCAAAGAUUUCGAUCCUGUGACGAAGAAGCACACGAUUCUGUAUGAUGACGAUGAAACCGAAACAUUGAACCUCAGAAAAGAAACAUGGGAACUGUUUGUCGAGCCGAAUACACAAAAACAAGAAGCUGACG